CGUGUCUGGAAUCAACUUGCAGCAACAUCAUGUUUUAUCAAGUAUUGAACCACACAAAGGAUUAAAUCUUCAUUACAAUAUCAUUCAUAACUCCAUUUAAAUCAAUGGAAACUAAAUAUGGAUCGUUUCAUGGAGUAACAACAUACUUUGGAGUUUGGACCCAAAAUACAAUACACGUUAAUAUCGAACUUAUAAGGUGUUAAGCUGCAAUAACAAUAAAAGUGCUUGCUAUGGAAUCACCGGUGCUGAUCAUUAUUGUCAACUGUUACUUAAAAUCCAGAUGAACCAACCUUUACUUCCUAUUCAAAUAAGUUUAGAAGAAACCUAUAUAAGCAAUAAAACCAGACCAAGAAUGCUUGAUUACAAACGAUGAACUCAUUUCAUUUGCAAGUUAUGCCAUGACAUAAAUGCAUUAAAUUAGGAAGAUUUGUAUUAGAUGAAUAUUAACUUCUGUUGAUAAGAACAUUUGAUUGGUGGAAUCCAGAUUCUGUGAAUGUACAUGUAAUUGAUUGACAAGUACACAUUUGACAAGGUGGUGAGAAACGUGUAGAUCUGGCCUGCUUACAGUGGCUAUUGGAUUGGACAGAACCAAAGUGAGAGUGAACC